CUUCCCUGUUCCUGAAAAGGUCUAAUUGCUUGGGACAUUCCAACAUUCCCCACCCAGUGCUACGCCCUUUGAGCUGCACCGAUAUAAGAGUGUGUCAGUCACCAUCAGUCACAGACAGGAUACAGAAGCUGCUUCCUUUAUCUUCAACUUUGAGACGCUGAAUCAACAGUAACAACAUGUGCAGGAUGAUCCUGACUGCAGGCCUCUGUUUGAUUAUCGCCAGCUUGGCCAGAACCACCAGUGCUAGCUGUAUCAGCACUAGCACUAAUGGAUGCCCUGCAGGGUUCUGUACUGGGAGGACAGAUGGCAACUACAUCAAUGCAGCCAACCCAAAUUCAUUCUACCAGUGUUCCAAUCAGCUGACCUACAGCACACCUUGCCCAGCAUCAGGACUGGUCUAUAGAGCUCCCUGUGACUGCUGUGACUACCCAAACAACCCAUGUCCUGCCACAAAAACGACAUCUCCUACUACCACUCCCUACGAUCCCUACUGCCAGAACAAGCAAGAUGGCUACUAUUGUUACACAAACGACUACUCCAAAUACUACUGGUGUGUCGGUGGAAGAACCUACAUCAUGCCAUGCCCACAAGGCACGAUCUUCACCCCUAAAGUCAACAACUGUGUCCGUCCUGAAAAUGCUUAAAUACCUGUUGUCUUUGCUCUGCAUUCACUCAGCAAUUUCACCCAUGUAUCAAUAUGUAACACAACUAUGCUUUUUGUGGAGUCUUGUUGGGCUUUGUUGCUUCUCUGUUCAGGGACAUGUUAGCUAAUUCUGCCACUGAUGGUGCAUCUGUCUUGGUCACUGGUUGCUUAAUGUGCUUACACUGAUUCACAGGAUGCAUUUGCAUGCAUUUAAUGCAACCACUGCACAUUGUAUGUCCAUAAACAACCUGUGUCUAUCUAAUUGUAAACUGUACUAAAACAAAGGAAUAAAUCACAAUAAAAUAACA
rnacentral:lncRNA from 1 species